rnacentral:rRNA from 1 species
UACGUAGGGAGCAAGCGUUGUUCGGAUUUACUGGGCGUAAAGGGUGCGUAGGUGGGUUGGUAAGUCCGUGGUGAAAUCUCCGAGCUUAACUCGGAAACUGCCGUGGAUACUAUCAAUCUUGAAUACUGUGGAGGUAAGCGGAAUAUGUCAUGUAGCGGUGAAAUGCUUAGAUAUGACAUAGAACACCGAUAGCGAAGGCAGCUUGCUACACGAGUUAUUGACACUGAGGCACGAAAGCGUGGGGAGCAAACAGG